UACGGAGGGUGCAAGCGUUAUCCGGAUUCACUGGGUUUAAAGGGUGCGUAGGUGGGUUGAUAAGUCAGUGGUGAAAGCUCCGAGCUUAACUUGGAAACUGCCAUUGAUACUGUCAGUCUUGAAUGUCGUAGAGGUAAGCGGAAUGUUGCAUGUAGCGGUGAAAUGCUUAGAUAUGUUACAGAACACCAAUUGCGAAGGCAGCUUACUAUGUGAUGAUUGACGCUGAGGCACGAAAGCGUGGGGAGCAAACAGG
rnacentral:rRNA from 1 species